UCAUAUCCUUAGUUACUUCAUUACAACAGAAAGCUCUAAAAUUAAGAGAGAAAUUCAGAUCAGAACAUUGAACUAUAACUUUUUAUUUAUUUUCGGAUGGAACAAUUAUAAUUUAAGUCACACACAAAUCCUUAAUUACUUUAUUUCAUCAUAUAAAAAUAUAAAACUAAGGUAGAGGGGUACAUUCAAUUUACCCCAUCGUAAAGGAGGCCAACUUCUUCUGAGUCUCCCAGAGAUCAACACGGACAAGAGCCUCGUAAUUCUGAGGUGGGCUAGGCGACGACUGAUUCACCGCAGCAAUGACGAGCCUGAAAUUGAUUCCUCACACGAGCUGGGACUCGGCUCGGACCACGUUUCGGAAGACCAAAUGAUUCCGGGGUUCAGAUUGCCUUGUGUUGUACUGGGAGAUAGCAAACUCCGCCAUGAGUCUCAGAUUGGGGUCGCUGACGUUCUCAAUGGGCUGAAAACAACCAAGACACACCUGAUCAUCAGAAUCUCGGGCUAGGGCUGCCGCAAAAACCAAACGGGAAAGGAGGAGGAGGAAAGCAAGGAGGCGACUCCUCAUCGUUACGGUGGUGUAAGUGUAACCCUAGCUUUCUCCGAGUUGAAAGAGAUUACAGACUAGAUUUGGGUGUAUAUAUAACAAGCUGAUGGACGGACGCCAAUUAUUCUAUUUUAUAUAUAAAGCGUGAACUAAGGCCACUGUUUUACUGUUCCUAAGAAGAGGCGGAAAAGCCGUUUUUUCCCUCACUGUUCGAGGAGAAUAUCAAGCUGGUGGAAAAGUCGUUUUCGUCCUUGCUUUUGUCAGUGUUGGAUAGGUGUCACGAUCGGGGUCUGGAAUUGAGUUCAUGAUCAGAAAAAGCGAAAGAAGAGAGAGAGGAGAGGAGAGGAUCUCGGUGACAAUAGACCGGUUGCAAGGAAAGGAGAAGAUCUCGGUGACAAUAGACCGGUUGGAAGUUCUAACUAUUGUUGGCUGGAAUAUCUACAGAAGAAGAAGAAUAGAGAUUCAAAUCGGUUUAAAACAGAAUAGCAACUAAAGUGUCAAAGCUGCAGAGUUUCAAAUAAAAGAUAAAGAACAUUUUGGUACCAGGCGUUGCUGAUCCUCAUGGAACUUGGCAAAACUGCAAGUUUAAUUAAUUGAUACAAAGAAUUGCUUGUCCGCUCAGCUCGAUCAAGACCAUGCAAAGUCGUCAGUCGCACAAAUUAAAGCCAGUUUAUUUCUAAUCAAUUGGGGGGGGGGGGGGGGGGGGGGAUUAGGUCCAUUUCAUAUAGGUCUCAUACUUCAAUUUUAUUUAUUACAAUAAUUAUUCAUCGAAAACUUUAAAAUUAACUACUUGUGAGGAAUUGGCAGUGUUGGAUAUGAAGCACGCAAAGCAAUGCCGCACUGGCCUCCAGGGAUAUCAUCUCUGAUUAUUCUCAUGUACCCUUUUUCCCCCCAAUUCUCACCCCAUGAAUUUAAAAUUUUGAAAUAUCUUACAUAAAUAUCAUUAAACGUCCCAGCGACUAAGACAGCAUGAUCUAGUUUUGGCCCGCAUAUUCGCCUGAGAACACUCCGCGCCACUACUAGCAAAAUCUCUAGUGGCUACCCAGUUUGGAUACACUUUUCUAACCGUAUCAUUUGAGUAGAGCAAAUGACACUCUUUUAUAUUUUUAGUAUUCUUUGUUUUAUGGGUACUAAUAACAGUGACAAAAUAAAAAAUAUAAUCAACAAAAUAAGUUAAUACAUUUAUUAAAAUCAAAAAUCCGUAUUCAUUACUAAAUAAAAUACUAAAUUAAUAUUUUAUAUUAAAUAUUCGGAUAAGUAUCUGAUACAGAUACGGUUAAGAGUGUGAAGUAAUAAUAUCUAAUUAUUUAUUUGUAUUUAAUUUAGGGACGAUGAUGAUAGAAGAGGUCAUUUUAAAGUACUUUAUGAUAAUCCAGACACCACAAAUGUCCCCAUGAUAAUUAAGGGCACCUAUUAACAACCUAGCUACCACUAGAAUAAACUUAAUUACAAAAACUGCCACUGCUGGCUCUCUCUCCCUCCGUUAAUAUGUUAUCGAUUCAACCCUUUACCAAAAUCUCUCUCUCUCUCUCCACACAAACCCUUACGGCCUUACCAUCUCAACCUCCUUGACCACGACCACCUCCUUGAGACCUUCCUCAGCUUCUCCGACUCGCCGCCCUUGCCGUUGAUCUCUCCUUCGAGCGGAUCCUCGACUCCCGCGACUCCGACGCCGAUCAGAUCAAGCUCAUUGAUCACGCCCUGCAGUUGGGAUCGGUGCUCCUCGAGGCUCUGGUAAGAGCUCGGCGAGACGACGAGCCUCCAAGUACAACUUCAUCGCCUGGGCUCUCCCUCUCAACCUCACCAUCAAGGUUACUAUAGCACCGUUAACACGCCAGAACCGAGUGCUUGGAAUGCAGUUGAGAAAAGAAAAUGGAGUAGGUUGCUUGUGUAAUUGAGAUUCAAGAUCAAUGCUCAGACAUAUCUGCAGCUACAUGGUGUAUAAGGCUAGCUAUUACAUGUUCUCCUAGCCUCUUGAUCAUCUUCUCAUUCAUAGCAUGUUUGAUAGCUGCUUUAUUCUAACUUGAUUACUGUAUAUCCUCUUGUAAUAUAGUACAGUUUCAAAAAAUCAUUGAACAAAUAUAUAGUUUUGUUCUUUGUUAACGUUAGAA